UGACUAAUAGUCUCAAGUGUUUCUAAUGGGUACACAAUUUAUUCUUGCCCAACUUGUUCACAUUAUGUUGGUCCACAAUGGCCCAUGUUUCCUAUCCUCUGCUCCAGGUUAAGAGUAUGAUCUGGGUGGUUCACUAUGGGCUACAUUCUAUUAGAUGUGAUAAGCUUAUAUGUUAUAAUUGAUUAAUCUUUUCAUAUAGAAAAUUGACU